rnacentral:misc_RNA from 1 species
AACCAGCUACGGAUCGUCGCCUUGGUGAGCCGUUACCCCACCAGCUAGCUAAUCCGAUAUCGGCCGCUCUAAUAGUGCGAGGCCCGAGGUCCCCCUUUCCCCCGAAGGGCGUAUGCGGUAUUAGCCGCUUUCACGUAGUUAUCCCCGCUACUAGGCACGUUCCGAUACAUUACUCACCCGUUCGCCACUCGCCACCAGACCGAAGUCCGUGCUGCCGUUCGACUUGCAUGGUAGUAAAGCAUCCGCCAGCGUUCAAUCUGAGCCAUAAUCGAACC